CUCUCGCACAUUUUUUACUCUAACUGGUAAAUGAAGCAGGAAGUCGUACAGGAAGUGCUGUGCUCAGCUGAAACAGCACAGUGGGAGGGAGAACUGAAAGCAUGACAGUUUGCUGCAGCGUCCUCGUGGUGUCAUCAUGUCAAGUGCCAUUUUAACAAAACUCUUCAUCCUCCUCAUCUUGGCCUUCAUUGUUUGCCUCCCGGAGUUCUUCAACUACAGAGGUAUCGAUGUGUGGCUGCUGCUGAUUAACAGCUCUUCCAAGCAGAACCUCACCUUUCACAGCCUCAUCAAAAACAGCUCACUCAUCAGCAGCACAGCGCAGGACCCCGGCCUGUUCUACUGCUGCGAGAGCCCCCCCGAGCCGGCCGCCUCCGGCGGCAGCCGCUGCCUCCUUCACAGUCCCGUGGCCAACUACUCCGCCCUGCAGCACACGGGACGGGAGAACGGCUUCUGUGCAAGGAAAUUUGUCUGGCUGGUCCUCAUUUUCACCGUGGUCCUCACAGUCUUCAUAGCCAUUCUUCAUCAGGUUUUGUACAAGAGGAAGCCUAUGACUGAAGGCACCCAGAAGGUUCCUGCCCCAACCAGCCUCCACGAGCUGCACGAAUUAAAAGAAAUGAGAAGUAAGGGCGGAGCACAUUCUAGAAGAACCGUGUUUGGUGUACUCGCUCGUCUGUCCCACUCUCUAGUGUUCAUGGCCAUGGCUCAGUUUUCUUCAAGCCUUUGUCGCUUGAACUGUCGCGUGGUGGGUGUGGCUGGUGCUUUGUCUUCUGCGUGCUGA
ensembl:lncRNA